rnacentral:RNase_P_RNA from 1 species
GAAGUCAGCCAGACCGCCGCUGGUGCAAUCCGCAAGGCGGCGCGCAAGCGCCGGGCCGAAAGGCCGCACUGGAGGAAGGUCCGGACUGCACAGGGUAGCGCAGGAGGUAACACCUCUCCACCGCGAGGUGAGGAUCAGAGCAACAGAGACGAGUCGGAAGGGCUUUCGGGCCUGACCGGGUGAAACGGGCAAUCUCUGCGCGCAGCAACACCAAAUAGGCACACGUUGACCUGUCCCGGGGAGUGUGCGGGUAGGUGGCAUCGAGCCGUUCUGGCGACAGGCGGCCCAGAGGAAUGGCGGUCACGGUCGCGCGUCGAAAGGCGCGGGGCUGCACAGAAUCCGGCCUAUCGGCUGACUUCACAC